GACGAACGCUGGCAGAAUGCUUAACACAUCAGCCAUUGAUUGGUGGCGGACGGGUGAGUAACGCGUAAAGAACUUGCCUCACAGGUCGGGACAACAUUUGGAAACGAAUGCUAAUACCUAAUACUGUGCGAGAGCUUUGCGUCCCAUUAGCUAGUUGGAGAGGUAACGGCUCACCAAGGCGAUGAUGGGUAGCCGGCCUGAGAGGGUGAUCGGCCACAAGGGGAAUGGGACACCGCCCUUAAUCCGACGGGAGGCAGGAGUGGGGAAUAUUGGACAAUGGACCAAAGUCUGAUACAGCAAUUCUGGUUGAAAGAUGAAGGUUUCGGAAGGUAAAGUGCUUUCAGUUGGGAAGCGGUAACAACAGAAGAAGUGACGGCUAAAUACGUGCCAGCCGCCGCGGUAAUUC
rnacentral:rRNA from 1 species